GCUCCCUCAGGAUCUCCCUUCUUCCCACUUCUGUGCAUUCCUCUCUCAGCUCUGCUCUGUGAGUCUUCCUUUCUAAUGGCCUGCAGCUGUAACUGGAAGACUGCCCUAAAGAUACUGGAGCAGUUCUCUCUUGCAUGCUCAGAUUGCUGGAAGUACCUAGGAAUUUAUAUUCCUCCAGGGUGAGGCUACAAUGACAAAGCAGCCAUCUACUCACCAGGAAGGGGCACUCACCAGAAAUCAGAGCUCCCAGCACCUUCAUCUUGGACAUUCCAGCCUCCAGAACUGUGAAAAAUAAAUGUUUGUUGUUUAAGCCAC